rnacentral:tmRNA from 1 species
GGGGCCGACCUGGUUUCGACGUGGGUACGGAAUCGGAGCAGGGCAUGCCGAGCACCAGUUCGCUCGUAAAACCACUGGAAACAAGCUAACUGCGAACGACGAACGUUUCGCCCUCGCCGCUUAACACCGGUGAGCCUCACAACAGCAGGCCAAUGGGCUGGGGUGGCAACACCUGUGAGGUUAUUUACAUUGGCUGGUCCUGAGCCGGGUCACUCGACCCAGGACGAGAUCUAGUGACUGGUGUUCCCGGCAGCGUGUUCCUGCGCGGCCGGUGCACGAGACUCAAAUCAGAGAACUAAGCUUGUAGAACUGCCUGAGGAAGGCUUGCGGACGGGGGUUCAAUUCCCCCCGGCUCCACCA